UACGGAGGGGGGCUAGCGUUGUUCGGAAUUACUGGGCGUAAAGCGCACGUAGGCGGCUUUGUAAGUUAGAGGUGAAAGCCCGGGGCUCAACUCCGGAAUUGCCUUUAAGACUGCAUCGCUAGAAUUGUGGAGAGGUAAGUGGAAUUCCGAGUGUAGAGGUGAAAUUCGUAGAUAUCAGGAGGAACACCGGUGGCGAAGGCGGGAUCUCUGGGCCUUGCCUGA
rnacentral:rRNA from 1 species